GAGGAAUAAAAGUGCAGACGGGUGCGUUCCCUCAGAGAGCGAGGACAGAUGUAGAAAUUAGAAAAAACCAUAGCAGCAGAGGCAACAGAAACAGGAAAAAGACGGAGAAGAGAGAAGGAAGAGCGAGCGAGUGUGCACGCUUGAGGGUCAAAAGUAGGGAGAAAGCAGAAUAAGGGUUGAUAGACCGUGGAAUCUAAAAUAAUCACACACCCAGUUUUGGGUUUUGGUUGUUUUUGGGUUCUCUCCUUUUGCAACAUUUCUACUGGCAUGGAAUUGCUCAUCAAAUUCCUCUGCUGGGCAAUUUUUCAACAGAGCAAAUUUGGGGUUUCUUCCUCUCCUUCGCAGCUGCAGUAGCUUGAAGCACUUGGGGCUAGGCUGCAAGUUUAGGCCGAGGGUUUGGGCUUUAAUUAUUGAGUUCGGGUCUCCUCUUGUUUAUUAUGUUGGCCCUUUGUGGACUAUAUUCUUUGGCUAAUGCAACAAUACUUACUUAAUAUAAUGUAUAUAAUUAUAUAGAUAAACAGUUUGGUCCGGAUAAAAACUUUCCCCUGCCAUCAUUGUAACGUAAAUACCUCAUAACAUUAUCGCUCCAACAGUCUAGGACUAGGUGAUGGUAUUGGUAAUGGACCGGCAAAGAGAAGACCACCACCCUCACUGCUCACCGCCACCGCCACCGCCAAAAUAACGCCUCGGAUCACCAUGAGCGGCGUCCGUGUUAUUAUGAACACGAGCUCCAGCAUCACUACUUUAACCGCCACGAAUCAUUCCCCCCCAACACGACCAGGAUGCCCAAUUCAACAACCACGAUUACGACUCUAGCCACCAGACAAGCUUUGAACCUAAUGAACCAUCUGGAGCUGGAGGUGCAGAAUUCUGCUCCAGUGCACGCAAAAGAGGUCGAUUUCAUUCUGGCCUUGCUGGUUCAACUGGUAAUUGGUUCCUUUCAUCGCUCCUUCCUCUCCUUUAUAACAGUUGCCAUUUGCAAGUAUAUUUUAAUGUGGUCAAAUUUGUGUUCUGUUUCACUGGUUUAUUAAUCUUCUCAUGAAUUUGUUUUAUGCGCACUUAAUUUCCACUCUACUUUCUCCAAAUAGCUACAUUAAUAGCUGUAUGUACGAUUAAAUACUUGGCAAAGUUAUCAGUUUUUUCCAUGGAUGGAUUGAAAAGGUUUUAUGGAAUGAAUUUUUAGGAAUUUUCAACUCCAUACCUUUUAAAAUGAAUGGAAACUCAGUUCCAUCGUAAAGUACUCUUGGUCUUGGCAUAUCAGGUGCAUCUGGUACAGAAUUUUGGGUUCCUACUAACUAUUCUACCGUGUAUUUAAAGCUUUCCCGUAGGAAUUGAAUCAAGUUAAUUUGUAAUCGACAUGAAAUAUUCAAGUAAAGUAAUUUAUUCUACCUGUAAAUGUUACUGAUCGAUUGAUAUUUUCUUCACAUGCUGUUAGUUUGAUUUAUGUGGAAUGACAGCUUAUAGGUCACAGUUAUGGUAGUUUUCCUCAUAUUUGAAAUUGCAAUUUUUUUUUUUUUUUUUUAACUUUGAAAGUAACGGAGUUAAAUGAGAUUUGGUUUGCUUUCUUCCUUGUCUCUGUUACAAGGAAUCUGCUCUAAAAUCUGUUAAGUUGAAGGCUAUGGGUGGGAUGUGUCUACGAUUGUAUUCAUUGCAUAGGUAACAGUUCUUGCGUGUGAUAUACAAUGCAACAAAUUAUGGAUGUAUUCACUGAGUGCCAUGUAAACAAACAUCUUUUACUUGAAUUUGUGUAAAUAUAAUGUUUCCUAACUUAGUGCAAGUAUAAUGUUUCCUAAUAUCAACUAUGUUUUAUACAUCUACCUUUUUUUAAAGGAUUAUGGUUUAUAUACAAAUGUUCCCCAUAUAAGAUAUUUCUCCAUAUGGUCAUGUGGACGAUGUCUACAUUGCUCGAGACAUACUGUAGCAAAGUUGUGGUAUGCCCAGGCAAGGCAGGCCAGGGGCGCCUUGUUAAUAAAUUUGCUUCUUAGCUGGAAAUAUCUGUGAUUAUUGUAUUGAGAUAAAUUUAAUUUGUGCCAUGGUCUUCAUUUUAGACAGAGUGUGGUGUGUUUCACCUGGAUAGAUCCUGGGGUUUAUUUAGUCCCAUGAUCGUCAUUGUUUCUUUUCACAGUCUCUUCAUGCAUCAUUCACUGAACAACAAGAGAAACAAGCAAGCAAAGGCAUCAAAGCAGUUCAAUGAUACAUGUCUAAAUAUAAUGUUAUCAGCUUGUCUUCUUGUGUUUUGGCAGCCUAGUUAUGUUUGAAUCUGUGUCUGAAGUUAAAUAUGUCUCUGUUAGCUGGCAAACUGUGCCUUAUAGUGGCCCUGACUUGGUGGUGUUCUACGGUUUUAUGAAGGAUGUGCAUUUAUUAAAUUUUCUUACAGAGAUAUGGCAGUGGCAGCAAUUGAAGUAUUCAAUGGGACUUGCCCAAUGAAAGUAAAACACAUCUAUUGUUUUUAUGAGUAUCUUUAUGAUUUUACUUUUUGCUGUCUCAUUCUCUCUGUUCUUUUGAUCAUUUCCAGGGUUGUGAUUAGCCUUUAGUUAUUUGUUUUGCAGAUCCCAAAUGUGGAACAGGAGAGUUAAGGUUUUGCUUUUUUGUAUUUCUGGUCUUAUACACAAGCUGUUUAUCUGUGCUCGCUUAAGCAAAUAAAUAAAUGAAAAGUGUUGUCUAUUUUUUCGCUAUAAUCUUCUGCUAGUGAAUUGGGAAGUACAUAGUGGUGAUCAUGCAAUGCACUAACCUUCAAUUUGGAUAACUGCUUGAGAUCAUUAACUUAUUUUGGCUAUCUAAUGAUUUUUGCUGAUGCCAAAAUCCCACAGCACGCAAUUAAGUUAUGGCAUUUACUCAAGUUACCAUUUGACCUUGCCAAUAAAGAUACCAACAAGUUCUGCCUCUAUUUUUGCUUAAAGUAGAAGAUCAAACAGUGUAAUGGACAACCUAACAUAGAUUUAUUAGUUAAUCUUUGAUCGUUUUGGAUAAUCAUAUUAUGGACUGAAAUUUACUCCAAUUUCUGAAUGAUACAAAUUCAAUUGGCCACAUGCUCUUAAACUCCUAAUCAAUAAUUUAUUUCUCUUCCUCGGGGGAAAUUAUGCAUGUUGCAGACAAAUUUUUUUGGUCGAUGUUCACAUAAACUAAGGAUUAGGUACAUUUUGUUUCUUUAUUCUCCUUCCAAUUUUGACCUUGUGCUUCAUGUACCAAGUUGAGUUUUCUGCUGCAGGCCAAAUGGGAGCUUGUGUUUUGCCUAAUGCUUCAUACUCUAUGCAAUACAUUUUCCCAUUAUUCACAGCCACAAACUGUUACUCAUACAGUUGUACUGGCACUUGGAGCUCCUCAUAUCCCAGAACAAUCACUUCCUCCAAUAAAGCAGCCAUCAAACACAGUUGUGUCAGAUGCCAUUACAACAAACACAUGUUCCACAGAAUUGUUUGCAAUCAUCUCAACAAGAAGUCUCUGAAAUUUAGAGCAGCAGCAAAGCAUGCAAAUUACUCCUGAGAUCGUUGCAUCUGAACUUUGACUUGCCGUGGGAGAAGCCUGAUGAGUUCAUCUUAUUUCAGCAACAGUUGCAGAAGCAGCAAAAACUACAAAAUGCUAGCCAGCAACCUCAUUUCCGAUCAACAAGUCUUUGUGGUGAAGUUGAUCAAAUGCAAAAGGCACUUCUUUUUUAUCAUAAUCACACCAACACCUUCCUUGCUUAGCAGGUAGUUCUUUUAUAUUAUUUUCUAAUAACUUUUUUGCUUGUUUCAUUGUCAAUUAGGCUGCUGUCUUUGCCAUUAAAGAAUGCCAGGGUUCAUAAUCCAGCUCAGGAUGUGCAUGAGUGUAUAUUUUCUUUAGUAUAGGAAAUUGACUUUAAGGUGGCUUCCCAAUACAAAUUAAUAAGUAGCAAGUUAGAAUUGUCUAAUGAAAGUAAAAUGGUAGUCUAAUGGUUAACUUGAUCUCCCGUGUAAUUUCCACACAGUUGCACUCAUUUCUUGCGGUUCUUAGGGUUUUCUUUCCAAUUGUCAAAGAUUUGACACCGUAACAUAUCUCCAUUCUAAAUGUAUUUGCUGGUGAAUUGCUUUACAUGUGCAAACAUUCAAACUUUGACUGUGAUAUUUGCCAAAAAGCAUUUUAUUCUUGUAUAUUAAAGAUGCUGUAUCAAUUACUUUUAUUCUUCUUAACAACUGAGGGAAAUUUGCCAAAUUGAUAGAAACCCAUAAGCGUAUUUUCUAUCUCCAUGGAAAACCACUUUGAUCCUUAAUCAGAAAAGAUCUCAAUUAUUCCUUCGGGAUGGUGGACAUAAAAAUAUUAUCAUCUUAGAAUCUAAGAAAGGUUCUUUUAAAAUAAUUGUUUGAUUUCAAAAUUAUUUCAUUCUAAAGAUCUUAGUCCAAAAUGUCAGCUUUCUAAAUUCUCAUUGCCUCCCUCUUCACCAACUGGAUGUGAGUUUCCCAUUUUUAAUGGCUGACAAAUAGCAAUCGGACAGAGUAGUUGCUCAUUGUUGACUAUUUUUAUGGCUUCAUCAGUUUUAUGAGCAGUGAGGUUUUUUUUGCCAUAAAUUUGGAUUUGGUAUAACCUGGCCAUGAUUCAAUGCCUUUGGGCAUUGGUUGAUGAAAUGUUGCUAUAUGAUUGAUGAGAAUUGUGGCUUAAUGUUUGGAAAUUGUCAAAGCUUGGAUGGUCAGACUUCCCACAACCACAGGAUCUCAGCUGCGUUGAACCAUGUUCAACAGUGGGUUGUAGGGUUUCUGUCCUGCGCUGGAACGGAGAAUUAAUGCAGCAAUCUUGGUGCAGUGUUUUGGAAUUUUUUGCAUAUCUUGGAGGGUAGCAUUCAUGUACUUCAAGCUUGUUUCUUUUAGAUGUUCGAUGUUUCUGUGGUCAAUUUUAGUUUCUCUUGAUUGACUAGGUAGAGAGCAGAUUUCACUCUUAUGUGGAGUUUUUUUGGCAAGACCUGCAUCAUGUGCAAAUGAAGUCUAGUCCGGUUGUUGAUCCCGCCUGUGUUUAACAGGCGCCUAGUUUUAUGACUUGUACGAAACCCCACUAAAGGAUUGGAGUUAGCAGGCAUCUUUGGCGGUAAAUUGAGUUGAGCGCUUGUAAAAUUGAAGGUUGCCGUUGUUGGAUUGUGCUUUGGAUGAUGCAUUGUGACGAAAUGAAUUGAUGGCAAGUCCUGUAGGUUGUAUUUGUGGUUGCUUUUGAGGUUUGAUUGUUAAUAACUCCGUGCAAGAUUAAUACGAAACAUAGUUAACAUAGUUUCUUGCUAAGUCUCAGCAACUAUUCUUAAAGAGAAUUCGUUCUUAACAUUGACAAGGAUGUUUACAAAAGCAAUAGCGUUCCAGGAAACAAUUCAAGGCCAAUUCGUAGUCGCUGCAGUGAGGCAUUUUUUUUUCCCUUCCCUUUAUAUAUUAUUUAUUUUGCACCGUGGUUGUUACUGACUGAAGGAUUUGCCCAUGGUGGGAACUAAUGAACUGUUGCUGAAGUCACAGAGCAUAGAUCCUAGCAUUGUGCAUAUCAGAAAGUGGAUCAGCUUUUUCCAGCACACGCAACCCGAAGAUGCCUAAAUGGUGCCGAGUAUAAAUUCCAACGGGCAAUCUUCUAUUUUGGCGUUGAAUAUUGGCUGACGGUGGUUGAUCUCAAAUCCCAUGGCAAUCGAGUAACUUCGCAACUUUCUAUUUAAUAAGAUAUUAUUCAGCUUGUCAGAUAGAGUGUUGCUUUGAAAUCUAUUCUGGGCAUCCGGUAUUUCGAACCCUGAGAGGUUGGAGGAUGCGAUAGCAACAUCAUAUCGUGGAGUUUGCGACUACUCGAUCCAAGGGGAACUGUUCUAUUUCUGGGCGUUGGUGUGGACUCUCAUGAUCGCCUCUACUCUGUAUUAGCAUCGUGAACAAUGAGAAUAACAGUUCAAGCAUCUAUGCGAUAUUUUUUUUUUUUUGCAUAGCGUAUAGAUAAAUUAAGCAAAUGUUCUUAGCAAAUAGUAAUACAAGUUCACAUGGGCAGCGCAUAUAUAGAAUCACAGAAAGUAUUCAAUUCUUUAUUUA